rnacentral:lncRNA from 1 species
GGGAGAAAUAUAUCUAAGUCCAAGCUUAAAAGCCCAUUUCGCAACUCAAAAAGUGAGUUGCGAAAAUUUGGCAAUGUGAAUUUCACCUUGCGAAAUGCACAUUUUGGCAAGAUGCAAUUUACAACCUCUCGGGAUUGCACUUUCGCAAGGAGUAACCAGUGCAAAAAUUUUCGCAAGUCAUUUUUCACCUUGCGAAAUUGUUUUCAAAGCAAAUAUCAAAAUGCAACCUCUCGGGAUUGGUUUUUAAGGGGAGUAGCCAGUGCGAAAAUUUGGCAAGGUGAAUUUUCACCUUGCGAAAUUUUUUCUUCAUGCUUACCAAGGAUUUGAUUCUUUUUAAAUUCAUUUUCAAACUUCAAUUUUGUAGUUUUAACACUCCUCAGUUCAUCCCCGUACUUAGACAAAUUUUCAAAAAAAAAUUUCAUGGCCAAAAACCCUUUUUAAAGCCUUCUCAACUUCAUUUUUCAUGCAUAAAACACUAUUCCCCUUGCAUUUCCUCUCUAAGCCACAUGCUUCAUUGUUCCAAGGUGAGUAAUUUUUCAUUUUUCUCCAUUUUUGGCUCCUUAAAUUGCUUGUUUAUGUCAUUUCUAUGUUUUAGGAACCAUAAACAUGCAUUUUCAUCCAUUAAAACCAUUUCAAAAAUCCAUUUUUUUCAAAUCAAAGACCC